rnacentral:rRNA from 1 species
UACGUAGGGGGCAAGCGUUGUCCGGAUUUAUUGGGCGUAAAGAGCGUGUAGGCGGCCAGACAGGUCCGUUGUGAAAACUCGAGGCUCAACCUCGAGACGCCGAUGGAAACCGUCUGGCUAGAGUCCGGAAGAGGAGAGUGGAAUUCCUGGUGUAGCGGUGAAAUGCGCGGAUAUCAGGAGGAACACCGAUGGCGAAGGCAGGUCUCUGGGCCGCAACUGACGCUGAGGAGCGAAAGCAUGGGGAGCGAACAGG